rnacentral:rRNA from 1 species
AGAGUUUGAUCAUGGCUCAGGAUGAACGCUAGCGGCAGGCCUAACACAUGCAAGUCGAGGGGUAAGGUUCAGCUUGCUGAACACACGACCGGCGCACGGGUGAGUAUCGCGUUUGCAAUCUACCUCUAACUGGGGCAUAGCCCGAAGAAAUUCGGAUUAAUACCCCAUAACAUCAUAAAAGGGCAUCCUUUAAUGAUUAAAGCUCCGGCGGUUAGAGAUGAGCAUGCGUGUCAUUAGUUUGUUGGUGAGGUAACGGCUCACCAAGACUACGAUGACUAGGGGGUCUGAGAGGAUGAUCCCCCACACUGGUACUGAGACACGGACCAGACUCCUACGGGAGGCAGCAGUGAGGAAUAUUGGGCAAUGGGCGAAAGCCUGACCCAGCCAUGCCGCGUGCAGGAUGACUGCCCUAUGGGUUGUAAACUGCUUUUGUGAGGGAAGAAUGGUUCCUACGUGUAGGAAUUUGACGGUACCUUAUGAAUAAGCACCGGCUAACUCCGUGCCAGCAGCCGCGGUAAUACGGAGGGUGCAGCGUUAUCCGGAUUUAUUGGGUUUAAAGGGUACGUAGGCGGAAUAUUAAGUCAGUGGUGAAAUCCUGCAGCUUAACUGUAGAAUUGCCAUUGAUACUGAUAUUCUUGAAUUUAGUUGAGGUGGGCGGAAUGUGUAAUGUAGCGGUGAAAUGCUUAGAUAUUACACAGAACACCGAUUNCGAAGGCAGCUCACUAAACUAACAUUGACGCUANGGNACGAAAGCGUGGGGAGCAAACAGGAUUANAUACCCUGNUAGUCCACGCCGUAAACNNNGAUNACUCGCUGUUGG